UUCAUGUAGGUUUAAAACUGACAUGGAAUUUAUCCUAUAUUUAUUUUAUUUAUUUUUGUAAAAUUAAUUCUCUUUCUCACUUUACUCUCACUCUCUCACACUGUCCCUCUCUUCUCACGAACUCCCCAAACCCUCUCUUCUUAAUCACACCCUUACCACCAUCGCUGAAGAUCCAUCGAAGCAAGUUGUCAAACCUUCCAUCAUCCCGCCCAGAUCGUCUCAGUAGUUCAGACACAACCAGAUCGUUUAGACAGCAGUUUGUCAUGCCCAGAUCUUUAUUUCGUUCGGAGAGUAGUUGCGUUUUGUUUGGUGCCCAGUCAUCGCAUUUCGUUUGGUGCCUAGAUUUAUUGUUGCAGUGACCAGAUUUGUUGCGUUUGUGCCUGAUUUUUUGUGUUCGUGCCCAGACUCAUUGUACUCAGAUCGUUGCGUUCGAGUAAGUUGCCCAGAUUCGUUUCCAAUCUUUGUAGAUCCGUUCGUGCCCAGAUCUUUCUAUGUUUGAGAUCUGUUCGGCACACGAUUGGAGAAUGCAGCACCACAAAAUCGGAUGAUAUCGAGAAACAAGUGUUUGAGGAGGAGGUUUCAUUCAAAGACGUACGAAGUGUUCUUUUACGACACCAAGAAUUCUUUCUCUGAAAAUUCUGUCAAUGCUAAGUCAAUGCCUGCUAAAAUGCGGUUACAAUAUAAAUAUUCACACGACUUCUCAAUGUCACAACAUUUUCAGUUUGGAGGUAUGCUUUGUUGGAAGGCCGGUAAUGCAAACAUUGAAUCCCCUGGUGAGGGAAACUUAUGAAGCCGAUUUUCUAGAGAAAGAGAUUAGGUUCAUGUUUGAGAAGGUGAGUAAACGGGAUAAGAAAUUAUACUAGAGUAUGUGAUGAGAUAAUUGUAAAAGUAAUUGGAAAAUAGAUGUGUAUAUAUAUAUAUAGGUAAGCCAUCAUCCAACUCCGAUAACAUGCCAUUGUGAAGGGAGAGGGUGGAAGUUUUGGGGAGAUAGCAAGCUUCAGUCCAAAUUCUCAGGAAGGUCAAUUCACCUGGACCCUCUUGGAGUAUUCACACUUGAGUUUGAUGAUGGUGAAAUCUUGUGGUGGUGCAAGGUAUGGGAAUUAGUUAGAGGCACUCAUUAUAAUCAUUUUGAAUAGAACAAAGGAAAAUCAGUAGCUUUAAAAACAAGGAAAGAUGGUGAGGUUAUGGUAUAGUGGGUGAGUUUUUCUCAUUUUAUGGAUACUUGGUUUCAAAUUUUAUUAUUUCUAAUCGUAGUCCUGUGUUCCAACUCGUUAUUUUA